GUCAAUAUCCGUAGCUAUUUUGUACAUUAAAAAAAUAUAUAUAAUCAUUUGUUCAUUCAAUUACCACCUGCAUAAUCAUUCAUUCAUUCCAUUACAAUCAAUUACAAUCAUUCAUUCAUUCAAUUACAAUUAAUUACAAUCCUUCAUUCAAUCAAUUACAAUUAUAAUCAAUUAUAAUCCUUCAUUCAAUCAAUUACAAUUACAAUUAUAAUAAUGUUGAAAAUACAAAUCUUUGUCUUCAUUAGAGAAAUUUGCUCGACUUCAUCCUGAAAUUUCAAUGAUAAAGAAUUAAAAAAUCAAAAACCAGUUGUUGUCCAAGUCCACUCCUUUUCCUUUCAAUUUCUUAGUGACCUCUGUAAAAUUACUUCCAUGGUCAUUUAUGUAGUACUUUGAAGAGUUGUCUCGAAAUGCAACUCUAAUAAUGACAAAGUCACUUCCUGCAACAGCUUCGUAUAUUCCAUCAUCCUACAAAUAGUCAUGGCAUUCAUAAAUCAGAAUGACCAUUGGGGGAAAGAAAAAUAAAGUGAAAGAAGUGCAUCAUGUAUAACCAUUUUUUUUCUUAAUGAAUUAAUAAAAA